rnacentral:rRNA from 1 species
UACGUAGGGCGCAAGCGUUAUCCGGAAUCAUUGGGCGUAAAGCGCGCGUAGGUGGCCCCAUAAGUCCGCUGUGAAAGUCAAAGGCUCAACCUUUGAAAGCCGGUGGAUACUGUGGGACUAGAGUACGGAAGAGGCGAGUGGAAUUCCUGGUGUAGCGGUGGAAUGCGCAGAUAUCAGGAGGAACACCGGUGGCGAAGGCGGGUCUCUGGGCCGUAACUGACGCUGAGGAGCGAAAGCAUGGGGAGCGAACAGG